rnacentral:rRNA from 1 species
UACGAGGGGGGCAAAUGUUGUUCGGAAUCACUGGGCGUAAAGGGAGCGUAGGCGGGUUCUUAAGUUAGGUGUUUAAUCCCGGGGCCCAACCCCGGACCGGCACUUAAAACUGGGAAUCUUGAAUAGUGGAGAGGUCAGUGGAAUUGGGGGUGUAGCGGUGGAAUGCGUAGAGAUGCGGAGGAACACCAGUGGCGAAAGCGACUUUCUGGUCCUUAACUGACGCUGAGGCGCGAAAGCAUGGGGAGCGAACGGG